AUUGAACGCUGGCGGCAGGCCUAACACAUGCAAGUCGAGCGGACGAACGGAGCUCUCUCCUGUCUUCCGCUGCGGACGGGCGAGUAAUGCCUAGGAAUCUGACUGGCCGUGGGGGCUAACGUCCGGUCAGGGGCGCUAAUAUCGCACAGGUCCUGAGGGAGAAAGUGGUGGUUCUAUGGACCACACGCUAUCAGCUGACCCUAGGUCGUAUUAGCUAGUUGGUGGGGUAAGGGCCUACCAAGGCGACGAUCCGUAACUGGUCUGAGAGGAUGAUCAGUCACACUGGAACUGAGACACGGUCCAGACUCCUACGGGAGGCAGCAGUGGGGAAUAUUGGGCAAUGGGCGAAAGCCUGACCCAGCAAUGCCGCGUGUGUGAUGAAGGUCUUCGGAUUGUAAAGCACUUUAAGUAGGGAGGAAGGGCAGUAAGAUAAUACAUUGACGUCUUGACGGUACCUACAGAGAAAGCACCGGCUAACUUCGUG
rnacentral:rRNA from 1 species